rfam:Trichobilharzia regenti genome assembly, scaffold: TRE_contig0013089
ACCCAGAUGAUGAGUCUCAAACAGGACAAAAUGCGCAUCCUGACUGGGU